CUGAUAACCGAAGCUGCGGAUGGGCGCGUAAGCGUCCGUGGUAGGGGAGCGUUCUGUAGGUCUGUGAAGGUGUCUCGUAAGGGAUGCUGGAGAUAUCAGAAGUGCGAAUGCUGACAUGAGUAGCGAUAAAGCGGGUGAAAAGCCCGCUCGCCGAAAGCCCAAGGUUUCCUACGCAACGUUCAUCGGCGUACGGUGAGUCGGCCCCUAAGGCGAGGCUGAAAAGCGUAGUCGAUGGGAAACGGGUUAAAAUUCCCGUCUUUUAUGCAGUGC
rnacentral:rRNA from 1 species